UCUUGAGUUCAGGGUGUAAUGGGCUGUAAUGUGCUUUGAAAGUAAAGGAGAGGCUGAAGAAGAGAAUUGUGUGUGUGCGUUUGGCUUUUAAGAGCAAGAUGGAUGGAUAAUGGGUGGAAGGAGAUGUCUGCAGUGCCUUUCACGUGUUCCUCGGACGAUGCUGUUUCCCAGGUUUGGGAGUCUUUCUUCCAACUUCUAUGAGAUUUCUGCCAAAGUUAGCAUGCUUCCAAGCAAGCAACAGCCAUUCCGGUCCAACGUUUCUGGGCUAGUGGUGUAAACACCAACUCUCCCCAGGUGCACCGAGUUUCCAGCCUGCACCAUUAGGUGUGCGGCUGAUCAAGCUUCCCAGCAUACAGCGGCUACAGAUAGCAGCAUUUAGUGGCUACUCUGGUGAUAUGCCGUCCCUUUGUUUUUUCCUCCAUCCUUCCCUCGUGACCACACAGAGCACUGGAGUCUGUCAUGCAUUAGGACGAACUGGGUCUCACUCGUUUGUCCCUGGAGCGUUUCCUGUCUGCAGAUGAUUGGAUGGAUGGAUGGAUGGAUGGAUGGAUGCCAAGGGACUCUGAAACUGAAGCUCCAAUGCCGCCGUGAGUUCAAGUCAGCUGGGAACUGAGCGGUUGUUUACGUCUAAAACGAUUUCUGUUUUUACCACGGGGUGAUCACCGAGGCGCCAUGAUCAUGAAGAGAGAAAAUCAGACAUUUACAGAGGAUGACUGAUGAUUUUCCCCAACAUGCUGAUGCUGUUGUCUAAACCAACGAGUAUUGGGAGCAGCUGUACCCAAAACAUUUCCUCUACGUGGUUUGAGGCCGAUCCAGUACCAGCUGGCAAGAAAGCGAUGGCAGAGCGCUGCGGUAAGGACGCUCAUGCAGUGGCUCGGAAUCAAUGUCAUGCAACCUCAUACCUCCAGUCAGUCAACUGACCAAAUGAAAGCAGAUUGAUUUCCAUGCCAAUGAAUAUCACUCAUUCUCUGAACAGGCGGCACUUUGUAUUAUUUUCUACUGCCAUGAGGUGUGAUGCUCAAAGAUAUCUGUGAGGCUGUAGUCAAGAUGCAGUACACAUAGAAGGAAACACAACUACAAGAUCAAAUUCAGUCAAUCCAGAGCAACAGUAAAGAAAUGAUCUUAUUUUAGAUUAGCAUAGCAUAGCAUCUCUGUUCUGUUGCUGCAGAGCUUGAUAUUGUCCUGAUGUCUACUUGAAAAUGUCCGUUGUUGUUGCUCAAACACGGUGGGAAAAUACAUUUCAGACCUACUGCCGUCCUUUCUUCCUCCUGAUAUUAAGGUUCAUUCGCUCGUCAAUUCGUCGGACAGGAUGGAACACGUAUUGUAGAAAUGUCAAUAUAAAAUGUAUGAGACUUAUAAAUUGGACAUAUCUGUAGUUUGCAGAAACAUAUAAUGCCAACAUUUUAUUCUGGUGUCUGGGCUGUGUUAGUUUAAUACGUAAUAAAAAAGGUGACGUGUAACUGUAA